rnacentral:rRNA from 1 species
UACAGAGGUCUCAAGCGUUGUUCGGAUUCAUUGGGCGUAAAGGGUGCGUAGGCGGCGCGGUAAGUCGGAUGUGAAAUCUCGGAGCUUAACUCCGAAACUGCAUUCGAUACUGCCGUGCUUGAGGACUGGAGAGGAGACUGGAAUUUACGGUGUAGCGGUGAAAUGCGUAGAUAUCGUAAGGAAGACCAGUGGCGAAGGCGGGUCUCUGGACAGUUCCUGACGCUGAGGCACGAAGGUCAGGGGAGCAAGCGGG